rnacentral:lncRNA from 1 species
AUAAUAUCAUACAGUAACUACCAUAACUAACAACCAUUGGGGGGACAUAAGCUAAAACACAAAUCAUCUAUGGGUAUCCCUGCUGGCCCACACCCAACCUCGGUUGAGGCAUACGAAGAACUCUAGGAGCCCCUAACUUACAACCCUGAUUCUAUACCUCUAGACUCUCCUAUCAAGGGUCAUGUCCUCGGAAACCUGCAUUCUAAUCAUGUCCUGCCUAAUCACCUCUCCCCAAUGCUUCUUAGGCCUCCCUCUGCCUCACCGACAGCCAACAAUCUCCAGCCGCUCACAGCUCCUCACCGGGGCAUCGGGACCCCUCCUCCUAACAUGCCCGAACCACCUCAGCCUCGCUUCUCGCAUCUUCUCAUCCACCGGGACCACCCCUAC